GUUUGCUUUUGAUAUUUGAUUGUAAUCAUCAAGGGGUUCCUAGGGCAUUUGUGUUUCGGUAGACUAGUUUAAAUGUUAAACUUUAUUUUUAAUCAUUGAAUGCAUGUUAAAAUUUUUUAAAUUCAUAUUCUACUGUAUCAACAAAACCCAACACAAUUCGUAUAAAAUAGUGGGAGAGCCUUUAGACUAAAGACCAAGUCUUUAGGCUUAAUCAAUUCAUAAACAUAGAGGUCUUGUGUUUUUCUUUCAAUUAUGGCUAGAUGUCUGU
rnacentral:lncRNA from 1 species